rnacentral:rRNA from 1 species
CAGCCGCCACGGUAAAACCGAGGGUGCGAGCGUUAAUCGGAUUUACUGGGCGUAAAGCGUGCGUAGGCGGCUUCUUAAGUCGGAUGUGAAAUCCCUGAGCUUAACUUAGGAAUUCAUUCGAUACUGGGAAGCUAGAGUAUGGGAGAGGAUGGUAGAAUUCCAGGUGUAGCGGUGAAAUGCGUAGAGAUCUGGAGGAAUACCGAUGGCGAAGGCAGCCAUCUGGCCUAAUACUGACGCUGAGGUACGAAAGCAUGGGGAGCAAACAGGAUUAGAUACCCCAGUAGUCCCUGUCUCUUAUACA